AACCAUAGAAACCUGCGGAGUACCUGCGGAAGGAUCAUUAAAAAAAUGAUGAAUGUCGGGGGGCGUUCAGAAUUAGUUUUACUUUUUUUGUCGCUCUCCGUGUAUUCAACCAACCCGCUCUUGCAUUUGGAUCAACCAAAAAUAAACAAAAAUACUAAAAAUAAACUUUUAACAACGGAUCU
rnacentral:misc_RNA from 1 species